rnacentral:tRNA from 1 species
GGCGCGGUACCCAAGUGGCAAGGGAGAGGUCUGCAAAACCUUUAUGCGUGAGUUCGAUUCUCACCCGCGCCUCCA